CUCUGUGACUCCUACGGGAGGCAGCAGUGGGGAAUAUUGCACAAUGGGCGCAAGCCUGAUGCAGCAACGCCGUGUGAGUGAAGAAGGUUUUCGGAUCGUAAAACUCUGUCCUAAGGGAAGAAACAAAUGACGGUACCUUAGGAGGAAGCCCCGGCUAACUACGUGCCAGCAGCCGCGGUAAUACGUAGGGGGCAAGCGUUAUCCGGAAUCACUGGGCGUAAAGGGUGCGUAGGCGGCUUAGCAAGCCAGGGGUGAAAGGCAUUGGCUCAACCAAUGUAAGCCUUUGGAACUGUUAAGCUUGAGUGCAGGAGAGGUAAGUGGAAUUCCUAGUGUAGAGGUGAAAUUCGUAGAUAUUAGGAGGAACACCAGUGGCGAAGGCGACUUACUGGACUGUAACUGACGCUGAUGCACGAAAGCGUGGGUAGCGAACAGGAUUAGACACCCUGGUAG
rnacentral:rRNA from 1 species